UACGGAGGAGGCAAGCAUUGUCCGGAAUUAUUGGGCGUAAAGAACACGUAGGUGGUUUUUCAAGUCAUGUGUGAAAACUUUGGGCUCAACUCAAAGAUUGCAUAUGAUACUGACUAACUAGAGUACAGUAGAGGAAAGUGGAAUUCCUGGUGUAGCGGUGAAAUGCGCAGAUAUCAGGAAGAACACCGGUGGCGAAAGCGGCUUUCUGGACUGUUACUGACGCUGAGGUGUGAAAGCUAGGGGAGCGAACAGG
rnacentral:rRNA from 1 species